UUUUAUGGAGAGUUUGAUCCUGGCUCAGGAUGAACGCUGGCGGCGUGCCUAAUACAUGCAAGUCGAGCGAACGGACGAGAAGCUUGCUUCUCUGAUGUUAGCGGCGGACGGGUGAGUAACACGUGGAUAACCUACCUAUAAGACUGGGAUAACUUCGGGAAACCGGAGCUAAUACCGGAUAAUAUUUUGAACCGCAUGGUUCAAAAGUAAAAGACGGUCUUGCUGUCACUUAUAGAUGGAUCCGCGCUGCAUUAGCUAGUUGGUAAGGUAACGGCUUACCAAGGCAACGAUGC
rnacentral:rRNA from 1 species